rnacentral:rRNA from 1 species
UACGUAGGGUGCAAGCGUUGUCCGGAAUUAUUGGGCGUAAAGAGCUCGUAGGCGGUCUGUCGCGUCGGCUGUGAAAACCCGGAGCUCAACUCCGGGCCUGCAGUCGAUACGGGCAGACUGGAGUUCGGCAGGGGAGACUGGAAUUCCUGGUGUAGCGGUGGAAUGCGCAGAUAUCAGGAGGAACACCGAUGGCGAAGGCAGAUCUCUGGGCCAUUACUGACGCUGAGGAGCGAAAGCAUGGGGAGCGAACAGG